rnacentral:rRNA from 1 species
GAUGAACGCUAGCGGGAGGCUUAACACAUGCAAGUCGAGGGGCAGCAUAGGGUAGCAAUACUCUGAUGGCGACCGGCAAACGGGUGAGUAACGCGUAUGCAACCUACCCUGUACAGGGGGAUAACCCGGAGAAAUUCGGACUAAUAUCCCGUAAUAAUAUCCGGAGGCAUCUUUGGAUAUUUAAAGUUCCGACGGUACGGGAUGGGCAUGCGUAACAUUAACUGGUUGGUAAGGUAACGGCUUACCAAGGCUAUGAUGUUUAGGGGUCCUGAGAGGGUGGUCCCCCACACUGGUACUGAGACACGGACCAGACUCCUACGGGAGGCAGCAGUGAGGAAUAUUGGUCAAUGGGCGCAAGCCUGAACCAGCCAUCCCGCGUGCAGGAAGACGGCCCUAUGGGUUGUAAACUGCUUUUCCAGGGAGAGAACUUACGCACGUGUUGCGUGACUGACGGUACCUGGGAAUAAGCAUCGGCUAACUCCGUG